rnacentral:rRNA from 1 species
GACGAACGCUGGCGGCGUGCCUCAAACAUGCAAGUCGAGCGGGGAACUUUUAAAAGCGCAAGCUUUUAUAAGUUCCUAGCGGCGAACGGGUGAGUAAUAUAUCGGAACGUGCCCAGUCGUGGGGGAUAACGUAGCGAAAGCUACGCUAAUACCGCAUACGAUCUACGGAUGAAAGCGGGGGAUCGCAAGACCUCGCGCGAUUGGAGCGGCCGAUAUCAGAUUAGCUAGUUGGUGGGGUAAAAGCUCACCAAGGCGACGAUCUGUAGCUGGUCUGAGAGGACGACCAGCCACACUGGAACUGAGACACGGUCCAGACUCCUACGGGAGGCAGCAGUGGGGAAUUUGGACAAUGGGCGCAAGCCUGAUCCAGCAAUGCCGCGUGCAGGAUGAAGGCCUUCGGGUCGUAAACUGCUUUGUACGGAACGAAACGGUGAGCUCUAAUAAAGCUUGCUAAUGACGGUACCGUAAGAAUAAGCACCGGCUAACUACGUGCCAGCACG